CUUACGGGAGGCAGCAGUGGGGAAUUUUGGACAAUGGGCGCAAGCCUGAUCCAGCAAUGCCGCGUGCAGGAUGAAGGCCUUCGGGUUGUAAACUGCUUUUGUACGGAACGAAACGGCGAGCUCUAAUAAAGUUCGCUAAUGACGGUACCGUAAGAAUAAGCACCGGCUAACUACGUGCCAGCAGCCGCGGUAAUACGUAGGGUGCAAGCGUUAAUCGGAAUUACUGGGCGUAAAGCGUGCGCAGGCGGUGAUGUAAGACAGAUGUGAAAUCCCCGGGCUCAACCUGGGACCUGCAUUUGUGACUGCAUCGCUAGAGUACGGUAGAGGGGGAUGGAAUUCCGCGUGUAGCAGUGAAAUGCGUAGAUAUGCGGAGGAACACCGAUGGCGAAGGCAAUCCCCUGGACCUGUACUGACGCUCAUGCACGAAAGCGUGGGGAGCAAACAGGAUUAGAUACCCUGGUAGUCCACGCCCUAAACGAUGUCAACUGGUUGUUGGGUCUUCACUGACUCAGUAACGAAGCUAACGCGUGAAGUUGACCGCCUGGGGGAGGACGGCCGCGAGUAGUAACGUACGAAGAAGUAGAGGCGUGAGACGNGCCGACGGACGACGACGAGGGAGGAGG
rnacentral:rRNA from 1 species